rnacentral:lncRNA from 1 species
GCUAUUUACAGUUUUAUAAAAUUUGGGUCACAUAAUCUCCUUGCAAAAUGAAACAAAUUGCUAUUUUAAAAAAUAGGGGUCCAUGCACUCGUUUUCAAAUUAAAUCAGUUUGAAUGAUAAAAAUCAGUCGAAAAAUGCAUCUUUUCCCGAUAUGUCAUAGUUUGACGUCGCGAAAAUAACAUUUUACGUUAGCAACGUCAUUACCUUCCCUGUAACUGUAUCGUAUGCCCUUAAACAAGCAGCUCAAAUUGUAAA